CCCUUAGAUGUCCUGGGCCGCACGCGCGUUACACUGAUACAUUCAACGAGCUUAUAACCUUGGCCGAGAGGCCUGGGCAAUCUUGUUAACGUGCAUCGUGAUAGGGAUAGAUUAUUGAAAUUAUUAAUCUUGAACGAGGAAUUCCUAGUAAACGCAGAUCAUCAAUCUGCAUUGAUUACGUCCCUGCCCUUUGUACACACCGCCCGUCGCACCUACCGAUUGGAUGGUCCGGUGAAGCCUCGGGAUUGUGGUUCUUGCCGCUUUAUUGUGGCGUGACCGCGAGAACUUGUCUAAACCUUAUCAUCUAGAGGAAGGUGAAGUCGUANCA
rnacentral:rRNA from 1 species